UGUUUUGUGGUGUUGACCUGUUUUUGUUGAUUUUGAGGGGAGUUCUCUGUGCUUCUUAGACUUGAAUGCCUGUUUCCUUCCCAAGAUUAGUGAAGUUCUCAGCUAUAAUUUGUUCUCAGCUAUAAUUAUAAUUUGUAUAAUAACAAAAGGUUAAGUAAACCUUUUGUCCUUUUUUCCCUCUAUUCUUCUUUUGGGACUCCUAUGAUAUUGUUGGGAAAAUAAGUAAAGUUCUGCACCAUAAGAUGGCCGACGGGACUAACAUAAGCUCUAGUUUCUAGCUUAGAGACUCCUCUUCCAGGUUCUUCCUGCUCUGUUUGCCACGCAAAGCACCAUGAAUGCAGAAGAGACAACGCUAUAAAUUACCCCUCCCACUUGUGUUCAGGGCUCAGAUCUCUGGAGAAGGAUCUCCUCUGAGUCUGCUGGUGUAAAAUAAAACACCCAUCCACCAACAUCUCCAAGUGCCAUGUGGUUUUUCUGCCAGCGAUCCAGCCUGGUUCCAUGACAUAUUUGGUUCUCUGAUUGGGAAACCCAAUUGCGCUGGCCCAUUGUUGCCACCAGUUUGGGAGAAUGGCGAGGCGGUGAAGGAAUAAAGAAUUGCAAUGGAGAAGGUGCUCCCUGCAGGAUUUUUGGCAGUCUCCCACUCGGUCUCCUCAGACCAGCCCCGCUCCACCAUUCCCACUGGACUCAAGGAGACUUGGAAGUGAGGACCUGGACCUGAUGUCAGAUACUGGCCCGGAGAAUCCUCUCUCACCAGGGCCAGCAGCCAGACUGUGCCUCGGACAUCAGGAGAAAACUCCAAAAGCUAGAGGGCUUAGCUAGGAUGAAUAUCACUCAGUUGAUAGAGGUCACCAAUAAAGUUUUCAUGAACAGGUAGGUCACAGCUGAGAGGGAAGCUGAAAAAAGAGGGUCACCCUUCUCACAGCAGCACUGAAAGAAAAGGACAAUGCAAAGAUGGAGAAGCUUCAACCACCAAAGUGGGGAAAGCCCAGAGCCCCCUUAGCAAAAGACUAAUGUGCCUACUGCAAGGAAAAGGAACAUUGGAAGAAUGAGUGUCCGAAUUGGAAGGGACCCCCAAAACCCAGCCAAUAUCGGGAGGAACCUUGAGAAGGAGAACUUACUGGUCUGACCAAGGUAGAAUCAGACUGAAGGGGAUGUUGACUCUCUCUCUCUCUGUUCUUCUGCCUAAUAGAUGUGAGGGCUUCUCCCUCAUUCAUUUCUGGGGUUAACAGCUAUAAUUGGAGCCAACUAUGGUUAGUCUACCUUGGGAUGGGGACUUUAAGGAAUAUUCCCAAGAAGCUGCUGAAACUCCAUUUGUUUUGGGGAAAUUCCCGGUCUUCCCUGGCUUAAUGUGGACUCCAUAUUUCCACUUUGGUAGAAAAACAUGGCAUCUGCUCUUCUGUCUGAGCUAAGGUUUUGCAUUGGGUUUUCCUUCUCUGCCUUCUGCUGGCACCUUGCCUCUUCUGCCUUCUUCUCCCCUUCCUGUUUCUGCACCAAUUUGGGUGAGGCCUGUAUAACUGGUUCCUAUACCAUUCUUAGUGCCUCAGGCACCAUUGGCUCCUCCUCCCACCCUGGAGGUCAAGGAGCAAAGUGUACCCCCUUGGACCACCCACUUUAGGUACCUCCACUCGAGUCCCAAGUGAAAAUUAACAAUGGGGGACAAUUGAUUGAGUUUCAAGUGGACGCAGGUGAAACAUAUUCGGUGUUUAAACUAAUUUAAGUUUGUUGGAUCUGUCUUUAAAGUUAUCAGCAUUAAAUAUGAAACUUUCAUUCUACCAAGGUUGA